GAAAUGCGAUAAGUAAUGUGAAUUGCAGAAUUCAGUGAAUCAUCGAAUCUUUGAACGCACCUUGCGCCCUUUGGCUAUUCCGAAGGGCAUGCCUGUUUGAGUAUCAUGAACACCUCAACUCUCAUGGUUUGCCAUGAUGAGCUUGGACUUUGGGGGUCUUGCUGGCCUGUUGGUCGGCUCCUCUCAAAUGAAUCAGCUUGCCAGUGUUUGGUGGCAUCACAGGUGUGAUAACUAUCUACGCUUGUCGCUGUCCGCCAGGUAACCUUCAGCGAUGGAGGUUCGCUGGAGCUCAUAGACGUCUCUCCUCAGCGAGGACAGCUUUUGAACGUUCGAUCUCAAAUCAGGUAGGACUACCCGCUGAACUUAA
rnacentral:misc_RNA from 1 species